rnacentral:rRNA from 1 species
AACGAACGCUGUCGGCGUGGAUUAGGCAUGCAAGUCGAACGGACACUUAGCUUUUUCGAGUGCUAUUGGCGAAAGGGUGAGUAACACGUGGGUUUACCUACCCUAGGGAUUGGGAUAGCCUGUCGAAAGACGGGCUAAUACCGGACAAGUUUCCGUUUCUUACUGGAAGUGGAAGGAAAGGAUGGGGAUCUCGCAAGAGAUCUAUAGCCCCGGGAUGGGCCCGCGGCCUAUCAGCUAGUUGGUGAGGUAAUGGCUCACCAAGGCGAAGACGGGUAGCUGGUCUGAGAGGAUGAUCAGCCACACUGGAACUGAGACACGGUCCAGACACCUACGGGAGGCAGCAGUGGGGAAUCUUGCGAAAUGGGCGAAAGCCUGACGCAGCGACGCCGCGUGGGUGACGAAGGCCUUCGGGUCGUAAAGCCCUGUCAAGGGGGAAGAAAAGCGGGUGGGAAAUCCACUCGCCUGACGGUACCCCUGAAGGAAGCACUGGCUAACUCCGUGCCAGCAGCCGCCGUAACAC